rnacentral:snoRNA from 1 species
AUCCUUUUGUAGUUGGUAAGUGUGAUGAUUGGGUUUGAGAUAGAUGUGCCUUCCUUAAACCUUGUUACAAACCUUGUUAGCACAUUACCUGUCUAAUG